CAGUAGCUACGGUAAUACGAAGGGUGCAAGCGUUACUCGGAAUUACUGGGCGUAAAGCGUGCGUAGGUGGUGGUUUAAGUCCGUUGUGAAAGCCCUGGGCUCAACCUGGGAAUUACAGUGGAUACUGGGUCACUAGAGUGUGGUAGAGGAUAGUGGAAUUUCCGGUGUAGCAGUGAAAUGCGUAGAGAUCGGAAGGAACAUCUGUGGCGAAGGCGACUAUCUGGGCCAACACUGACACUGAGGCACGAAAGCGUGGGGAGCAAACAGGAUUAGAUACCCCGGUAGUCCCUGUCUCUUAUAC
rnacentral:rRNA from 1 species